rnacentral:rRNA from 1 species
UGGGGGAGGAAGUAAUUGACGUUACCCCAUGAAUAAGAGGUUGCUAAACUCGUGCCAGCAGCAGCGGUAAUACGAGUGCCUCCAGCGUUAUCCGGAAUUAUUGGGCGUAAAGGGUGUGUAGGUGGUCUUAUUAGUCUCACGUUAAAUGCCUAGGCUUAACCUAGGAACUGCGAGGGAAACGGUAAGACUCGAGGAUGAGAGAGGUCUGUGGAAUUCUAGGUGUAGCGGUGAAAUGCGUUGAUAUCUA